UAACCUCUGGCGAUCUCCGUGAAUGUUG
rfam:Gelidibacter algens strain ACAM 536 contig00008, whole genome shotgun sequence.